rnacentral:lncRNA from 1 species
ACCCACUCUUUUAAUCCCAAAACCUAAAGACUUAGAUCAAAGAAUUCGAAAUCUAAAUAAGAUUAGCUCUCUUUAGGAACCUGAUGGUUCUGCAAUAAUACGGCCAUAUCGAUUCAACAUAGUCCAGGUACUUCUCCAUCAUCCAUUCUUGAAAAUCUUUCAUCUUUUUUAUACAUACCUCUUUGUGGUCCAAGUUCUUCAUGUCUACCACAGGUUGCCAUACGUGGACUCGUACGUCUUCUUUCAGCUUUCCAUGUGCGAUGUAGUUAUAAGCCAGGAGGUAGUAAGUAGGUAAGUUUCUAAUUAGUUGAACCGUCUGGGUGAAGCAGAAAACAUACAGGGCACAUAAGCCUCUAA